rnacentral:rRNA from 1 species
AUCCACCUGGGGAGUACGGUCGCAAGAUUGAAACUCAAAGGAAUUGACGGGGGCCCGCACAAGCGGUGGAACAUGUGGUUUGAUUCGAUGAUACGCGAGGAACCUUACCUGGGCUUAAAUGCAGAGUGACGAUUCUGGAAACAGAAUUUUCCUUCGGGACACACUGCAAGGUGCUGCAUGGUUGUCGUCAGCUCGUGCCGUGAGGUGUCGGGUUAAGUCCCAUAACGAGCGCAACCCCUAUCGUUAGUUGCCAGCGGAUAAUGCCGGGGACCCUAACGAAACUGCCGGUGUAAACCGUGAGGAAGGUGGGGAUGACGUCAAAUCAGCACGGCCCUUAUGUCCAGGGCUACACACGUGUUACAAUGGUCGGUACAGAGGGCAGCUACUUGGUAACAAGAUGCUAAUCUCGAAAACCGGUCUCAGUUCGGAUUGGAGUCUGCAACUCGACUUCAUGAAGCUGGAAUCGCUAGUAAUCGCGCAUCAGCAACGGCGCGGUGAAUACGUUCCCGGGCCUUGUACACACCGCCCGUCAAGCCAUGGAAGCUGGGGGUACCUGAAGUCUGCAACCGUAAGGAGCGGCCUAGGGUAAAACUAGUGACUGGGGCUAAGUCGUAACAAGGUAGCCG